ensembl:lncRNA
UAUAGAUCUUUUUGUUUGUGACUCAUUUUUGGUGCUAGAAAUAAUAACCCUUCCAUUAGUAUCACUAAACUCAAGCUAAAAGAAUGCAUAAUUCAUGACCUAAGGACACACCGCGCAGUAUAAGUUGUGUAUGUGUGUGCGCAUUCCGGGUAUUCGUGUAUAUGUGUUUAAAAUAAAAGCAGCAUCUGAUGACUUUAGGUCAGUUUGGAGGAGAGGCGCCGCUGCUGCUCCAACUUGUCACAACUUCACCCGGUACUGCGUCAUUACCAGAAAAGGGCACGGCGGAAGUGACAGGAACAUUAGGGAAUAUAUACUGCAAACAGAUACACGGCAAAACUCCCUUCACCUCCAAUCGAAGGUUGAGUGUUUCUCCUCAAGUGUUCAGAAAGCGGGUCGUCUUUCAAUCACACACCGAUGUUGAACAACUUGUGUGAGGCUUUUCUAGUCGUCGGACCACUCAAAGACGUUUCCAUUGAUGGGGGCGGGAGGGCUACUGUGCAUGGGACACGGUGCCCAUCAGGACCGUGGACAC